rnacentral:rRNA from 1 species
CUAAGUUUGAUGGCGACCGGCGCACGGGUGAGUAACACGUAUCCAACCUGCCGAUGACGUCGGGGAUAGCCUUUCGAAAGAAAGAUUAAUACCCGAUGGCAUAGUUCUUCCGCAUGGUAGAACUAUUAAAGGAUUUCGGUCAUCGAUGGGGAUGCGUUCCAUUAGGUUGUUGGCGGGGUAACGGCCCACCAAGCCUUCGAUGGAUAGGGGUUCUGAGAGGAAGGUCCCCCACAUUGGAACUGAGACACGGUCCAAACUCCUACGGGAGGCAGCAUG